rnacentral:rRNA from 1 species
GGUGUAGGUGGCUUUGUAAGUCAGAAGUGAGAGCCCUGGGCUCAACCCAGGAAGUGCUUUUGAUACUGCGAAGCUUGAGUGUGGGAGAGGAUGCUGGAAUUCCAGGUGUAGUGGUGAAAUACGUAGAUAUCUGGAGGAACACCGGUGGCGAAGGCGGGCAUCUGGCCCAACACUGACACUCAGACCCGAAAGCGUGGGGAUCAAACA